rnacentral:rRNA from 1 species
UACGAAGGGUGCAAGCGUUAAUCGGAAUUACUGGGCGUAAAGCGCGCGUAGGUGGUUCGUUAAGUUAGGAGUGAAAGCCCCGGGCUCAACCUGGGAAUUGCUUCUAAAACUGGCGAGCUAGAGUAUGGUAGAGGGUGGUGGAAUUUCCUGUGUAGCGGUGAAAUGCGUAGAUAUAGGAAGGAACAUCAGUGGCGAAGGCGACCACCUGGACUGUAACUGACGCUGAGACACGAAAGCGUGGGUAGCAAACAGGAUUAGAUACCCUGGUAGUCCCUGA